UACGUAGGGGGCUAGCGUUGUCCGGAAUCAUUGGGCGUAAAGCGCGCGUAGGCGGCCAGAUAAGUCCGGUGUGAAAGUCAAAGGCUCAACCUUUGAAUGCCGCUGGAAACUGUCUGGCUAGAGUGCGGAAGAGGAGAGUGGAAUUCCUGGUGUAGCGGUGAAAUGCGCAGAUAUCAGGAAGAACACCCGUGGCUAAGGCGGCUCUCUAGUACGGUACUGACGCUGAGACGCGAAAGUGUGGGGAGCGAACAGG
rnacentral:rRNA from 1 species